UCGCAGGCACUUUGUUGACUCUAGAGAACCUCGGGCCAAUCGCACAUCCCCGUGGCGGCGACUUUGCAUGCGGAUGCCAUCCAUAUCAACUUUCGAUGCCAGUUUCUGUGCCUACCAUGGUGACCACGGGAAACAGAAAAUCAGGGUUCAUUCCAUACAGGGACCCUGAGAAACGGCUACCACAUGCAAGGAAGGCAGCAGGUGCGCAAAUGACCCACUCCCGACGUGGGAAGGUAGUGACGA
rnacentral:rRNA from 1 species